GUCUACGGCCAUACCACCCUGAACGCGCCCGAUCUCGUCUGAUCUCGGAAGCUAAGCAGGGUCGGGCCUGGUUAGUACUUGGAUGGGAGAGAGAAACAUCAAUCAGCUGCCUCCU
rnacentral:rRNA from 1 species